GGCAAUAUAGCUCAGUUGAUAAGGUACUUGCCUAGCAUACAGGAAGCCAUGGGUUUAAUUCCCAUUGUAGCAC
rnacentral:tRNA from 1 species